rnacentral:rRNA from 1 species
GAUAUUGGUCAAUAGCCUAACGGCUGAACCAGCAAUUUGGGGGAAUGUAUAGCGAAAGCUAGUUGUAUUAUUAGUUAAUGCAAGAUCGACUACGUCGAUUAAAGUUCUAGGUAGAAUAAUGAUGAUGACAAUUUUUUACCUAUAUGUCUUGACCAAGUCUCGUGCCAGCAGUCGCGGUAAUACGUGGAAGACUAGUGUUAUUCAUCUUUAUUAGGUUUAAAGGGUACCUAGACGGUAUUUCUAGCCCAAAAGAGGGUACGGAUUUACUAGAGUUUUAUGUGAGGAGGGGAGUACUCAUGGAGUAGAGAUGAAAUUUUGUUAUACUAUGAGGUAACUGGUGGCGGCGAAAGCAACCUUCUAUGUAUAAACUGACGUUGAGGGACGAAGGCUUGGGUAGCAAAUAGGAUUAGAUACCCUAGUAGUCCAAGCAGACAAUUCUGAAUGCCAUAGAUUAGAUUAUUUUUGGUCUAUAAAUGAAAGUGUAAGCAUUCCACCUUAGGAGUAAUGUGGCAACACAGGAACUGAAAUCAUUAGACCGUUUCUGAAACCAGUAGUGAAGUAUGUUAUUUAAUUUGAUGGUCCACAAAAAACCUUACCACAACUUGAAUAUUUUUUAAUUAAUACAAGCGUUGCACGGCUGUCUUCAGUUAAUGUCGUGAGAUUUUGGUUAACUCCAUUAAUUAACGUAAACCCUUACUUUAUUUUUUUUUUAUAAAGUAGAUCGCCUAUAUAUUGGAUAUGAUAAGAGGGACU